rnacentral:rRNA from 1 species
UACGUAGGGUGCGAGCGUUGUCCGGAAUUACUGGGCGUAAAGAGCUCGUAGGUGGUUUGUCGCGUUGUCCGUGAAAACUCACAACUCAAUUGUGGGCGUGCGGGCGAUACGGGCAGACUGGAGUACUGCAGGGGAGACUGGAAUUCCUGGUGUAGCGGUGGAAUGCGCAGAUAUCAGGAGGAACACCAAUGGCGAAAGCAGGUAACUGGACUAUUACUGACACUAAACUGCGAAAGCUAGGGGAGCAAACAGG